GAUGAACGCUGGCGGCGUGCCUAAUACAUGCAAGUCGAGCGAAGCGGGGACGGGUGAGUAACACGUGGAUAACCUCCUAUAAGACUGGGAUAACUUCGGGAAACCGGAGCUAAACCGGAUAAUUAUAGAUGGAUACGCGCUGCAUUAGCUUGUUGGUAAGGUAACGGCUUACCAAGGCAACGAAGCAUAGCCGACCGGAGAGGGUGUUUGGCCACAUGGGAACGUAGACACGGUCCAGACUCCGACGGGAGGCAGCAGUAGGGAAUCUGCCGCAAGGGGCGAAAGCCUGACGGAGCAACGCAGCGUGAUUGAUGAAGGUCUUCGGAGCGUAAAACUCUGUUAUUAGUGAAGCGGUACCUAAUCAGAAAGCCACGGCUAACUACGUGCCAGCAGCCGCGGUAAUUC
rnacentral:rRNA from 1 species